UUGUAGAGUAAAAAGAACCCACAUAUAUACUUAAGAAUUGGCUUAAGUGUUUCUACCAAGACACCGUAAUGUCUGGACUAUGCGGGAAAGCGACUUUUAG
rnacentral:ncRNA from 2 species